AUACGGAGGGUGCAAGCGUUAUCCGGAAUCAUUGGGUUUAAAGGGUCCGUAGGCGGACUAAUAAGUCAGGGGUGAAAUCCCACAGCUUAACUGUGGAACUGCCUUUGAUACUGUUAGUCUUGAGUUAUAUGGAAGUAGAUAGAAUGUGUAGUGUAGCGGUGAAAUGCUUAGAGAUUACGCAGAAUACCGAUUGCGAAGGCAGUCUACUACAUAUAUACUGACGCUAAUGGACGAAAGCGUGGGGAGCGAACAGGAUUAGAAACCCUUGUAGUCC
rnacentral:rRNA from 1 species